CGGUGCCUCGACUGCUCACAGUGGGGUUGCUGUAGUUUGACAAUAUAUAAAUGUGAUCCCUAGCCAUUCGAGUUCUUGUAGUAUUCAUGGGCUGUAGUAAGUUUGCUGUAGGAGUAGGUGUGCACUUACGAGGGAUCCAUCGAUCUUAGUAGUUGAGGAGUAGUCCUAUGCGACCUAAGAUGCUGAGUUUUUAAGUCUGUGGUAAUAUGAUAAUAAAAAGGAGUUUUCAUGGGAUUCACUAUUAGACUCAAGCUAAUUAAGUCUAGCAUAUGAUGGAUGCUU
rnacentral:lncRNA from 1 species